CCUGAGAAACCCAAAAGAUCGAAUGGGGAGAUUCAUCGUCAGCGGUGUUGGCUUCCGUGCGGCUCGCGAUGGCCGGGAUCUCGGUCUCGCGUCACGCGGUCGCCGCGGUAUGUCCAACGUCGUCGGUGUGCACUUCUCCCCUAGUAGGACGUCGCGACCCGUUGGGUGUCGGAUCAAUGGCCGUUCGGUCGUCUGCUGCACCUUUGCGCGCGGCAGAUCGAUCGGUUCAACGUCCGGCUGCUCGGCGGUAUAGAACGCUUAAUCACGGUAAUGGGCCGCAACUAUCGAAUGCGUUCAGGCUCGUCGACAAGCUCGCCUCGCUCGGAUUUACGGACCUAGCGCCGUUGCCGGGCGCUUGGCGCGGCUGUUAGUCGACGAUGUCCUCGGACUGGCUCUUACCUGUCUGCGACGCUACUGCUUUGGGUACUUUC
rnacentral:rRNA from 1 species